GAUCAUGGCUCAGGAUGAACGCUAGCUACAGGCUUAACACAUGCAAGUCGAGGGGCAUCAUGGAGUUGCUUGCAAACUCUGAUGGCGACCGGCGCACGGGUGAGUAACGCGUAUCCAACCUUCCCUAUAGUAGAGGAUAGCCCGGCGAAAGUCGGAUUAAUACUCUAUGUUUUCCGUUGCAGACAUCUAAGAUGGAACAAAGGCUUGCCGCUAUAGGAUGGGGAUGCGUCUGAUUAGGUAGUCGGCGGGGUAACGGCCCACCGAGCCAUCGAUCAGUAGGGGUUCUGAGAGGAAGGUCCCCCACAUUGGAACUGAGACACGGUCCAAACUCCUACGGGAGGCAGCAGUGAGGAAUAUUGGUCAAUGGGCGAGAGCCUGAACCAGCCAAGUAGCGUGCAGGACGACGGCCCUAUGGGUUGUAAACUGCUUUUAUGCGGGGAUAAAGUUCACUACGUGUAGUGUUUUGUAGGUACCGCAUGAAUAAGGACCGGCUAAUUCCGUGCCAGCCGCUGC
rnacentral:rRNA from 1 species